AUACGGAGGGGGCUAGCGUUGUUCGGAAUUACUGGUCGUAAAGCGCGCGUAGGCGGAUUGGUUAGUUGGGGGUGAAAUCCCAGGGCUCAACCCUGGAACUGCCCUCAAUACUGCCAGUCUAGAGAUCGAGAGAGGUGAGUGGAAUUCCUAGUGUAGAGGUGAAAUUCGUAGAUAUUAGGAAGAACACCAGUGGCGAAGGCGGCUCACUGGCUCGAUACUGACGCUGAGGCGCGAAAGCGUGGGGAGCAAACAGGAUUAGAAACCCUAGUAGUCC
rnacentral:rRNA from 1 species